rnacentral:lncRNA from 1 species
UUUGGUCUCUGGUAGUGGGUCCACUUCCACCCCAUUUCAGACUCUACAGACCAAGCUUGCCUGCAGCCUGUACCUCCAAAAUGUGGAGGUGGGGAGGUCUAAGAAAGAGGGGGAUCACUUGCAAAUAUAAGGAAAUCAGACGCACCCGGUGCUACAGAAAUGGGCCAGGAGAAAACUCAGCAUUUUGACUGGGAUUUUGUUCCAACCAAGCAACUCUCUUCUACUUUCGUUGUGUACGGUUGGCACCAGGUGGAGGACAAUCAUUGGCACAGUGCUCUUGGCUCCUCUCCAUCCUCUCACUCCCUCCGCACUGACUGAGAAAACUCUUCAAAGAACUACAGGGGGCCGGGCGCAGUGACUUAUGCCUGCAAUCCCAGCACUUUGGGAGGCUGAG